UUAUUUUAAUACUUCAUAUACUAACAUUGUAAAGAUACUGAAAGGACUAGCAUGGCCUUGUGUAAUGAAGAAAAGCAAAUUCUUGAAGUGUUCAUUUUUUUC